GGCUUUUGUAAAGUCAUCAAGGAUGACAAUUCCUUCCUCCAGGGAUCUAGGGCAAACAAGCAUCUCUGGACCACCCUGGAGAUAAGCAGCAAGAUGGGCAGAGUCAAGCACAUGACACUGGGCAAAAUAUUAGAUACAACAACAUGAAAUUAGGCCAAUCCUACAAUUGCUUCUGAGUGUUCAAGUGAAAUGAAGAGUCAGUUGUGGUGGCAAACUUCACUGUUGUCUUCGUUUGAGAAAUUGCCACAGCCACCCUCACCUUCAGCAGCCAUCACCCUGAUCAGUGAGCAGCCUUCAACAUCCAGGCGAGACCCUCCACCACCAAGAAAGAUUAGAAGUUGCUGAAAACAAAGAUAGCCCUUUCAGUAAUAUUCUUAAAUUAUAAUAUACAGCACUGGAAGUUCUCGGCUGCUGGCUGUUAGGUUAGCAUUGAGAAGGAAAGAUCCUGAGGUUUGUCACUGCUGUAUAUCACCGCAGCUGUGGCCUUUGAUUACACUGGGGCACCACCAGUCAUUAAUAACAGGGAAAGCUUUUUGUCUGGCAAAUGCAUCGUCGUACAGUCCUUUCUUAACACCUAAGCAUCUUGGUGUGGUAGCCAACGUAAAUUAAAGAUGAAGAUUGUUUAUUUUAUAGCCACACUUGUAAAAAUAGAGGUGGCCGUUCCGGAGCCAUUCAAGAAAAUGUAUUUUUCCUUGUUUUAAACCUUGAAACGUUUUCAUAUUUUGCAAUUUGCUCAAGGGAACCCAGUCAUUAAGUCUCACUCGAACAAACACUAUGAGCACAAUGUAAUUACAAUUUUAAUUUCAUCACUGUCACACUCAUUUGGCUACCAGAGAGAGGGUUACAAAAUAAGCUAUCAUCCAAGACAACAAUCGCUGCAUUGACUUAAAGACCCAAGUGCAUCCACGGUUGAAGAUUUCUUGAAGAGCAUGAUGUGAAUGGAAUUUGCAAAUAGAAUGCUUUCCAACAUAAGAAAAGAAAAAGAGAAAGAAAAGCCCAACAUGGUCAGAUUUGCUGCAUAUUAAAUGAGUUGCUUUGGAAGGUUGAUGCCACUAGCCAUUUUCCAGAAGUUCUACUUUCCCCUCAAAAGUCACCCAAAGUUGUCCAAUUGCUAGGGAAUGUGAUUCACAUUAAACUAACACAUAAUAAAUGGACUUAUAAAUUCCA